GACGAACGCUGGCGGCGUGCUUAACACAUGCAAGUCGAACGGAAAGGCCCUGCUUUUGUGGGGUGCUCGAGUGGCGAACGGGUGAGUAACACGUGAGUAACCUGCCCUUGACUUUGGGAUAACUUCAGGAAACUGGGGCUAAUACCGGAUAGGAGCUCCUGCUGCAUGGUGGGGGUUGGAAAGUUUCGGCGGUUGGGGAUGGACUCGCGGCUUAUCCGCUUGUUGGUGGGGUAGUGGCUUACCAAGGCUUUGACGGGUAGCCGGCCUGAGAGGGUGACCGGCCACAUUGGGACUGCGAUACGGCCCAGUCUCCUACGGGAGGCAGCAGUCGGGAAUAUUGCACAAUGGGCGGAAGCCUGAUGCAGCAAUGCCGCGUGCGGGAUGACGGCCUUCGGGUUGUAAACCGCUUUCGCCUGUGACGAAGCGUGAGUGACGGUAAUGGGUAAAGAAGCACCGGCUAACUACGUG
rnacentral:rRNA from 1 species